rnacentral:rRNA from 1 species
UACGUAGGGUGCAAGCGUUGUCCGGAAUUAUUGGGCGUAAAGAGCUCGUAGGCGGUUCGUCGCGUCGGCUGUGAAAUCCCGAGGCUCAACCUCGGGUCUGCAGUCGAUACGGGCGGACUGGAGUUCGGCAGGGGAGACUGGAAUUCCUGGUGUAGCGGUGAAAUGCGCAGAUAUCAGGAGGAACACCAGUGGCGAAGGCGGCCCGCUGGGCAGUGGCUGACGCUGAGGCGCGACAGCGUGGGGAGCAAACAGG